GUGCAAGUCUGUGAUUGGUUCGCAGAGGUUUCCCUGGUGGAAGUAUUAGCUAGCGUAUCCUUCUAGCAGAAGUGCGAGAUCUACCCUCCCCCACCUCACCUAUUGAGCCAGAGUCAGAGCCAGCUUGUGCCAGAAUCAGCUAGUGAACGAGGGGAACCUCUAGAGAGAGCAAGGGGCACCUCUAGGUCCUUGGGAACUGACUAAGACCACCAAAGUCCUACCCCUGAGAGCAGCUACACCUGAAAUCCCAGUGGGAGGGGGAGCAUAGACCAUGGGCACUCCUGAGAAGGUAAUGCAGAGAAGAGCCCCAAACAGAAGCUGCGAACAUCGAACAGCAGAGGCUGCGGAGAUUCAAGAGCUUACCUCAGGCAAAACCCUUGCUCCUUAACUCCAUACACAGAGAACCUGCCCAGCUCACUCAGAUUUCUGACUAAAAAGGGAAGGUAAAACCUCCACUGUGAUGGCAGAUUGCUCACAGGACCAACAAACACUCUCUAAGAAAAACAAAAAAAGGCAGUGACCCUCGAAAAUUUUUACAGAGGAAAAACCCAGGCUACAGAGGAAAUACAGGUGGAAAUUCAAACACAGACAAAACCUUCUAAAAAAAUGGAAAUUGUCCACAAGCUCUGGAAGAAUUUAAAUUGGAGCUUAUCAAAAAGAUGGAAGCCUUCUGGCAAGAGAGGUGGGAAAUGGUUGAAAGAGGAAGUCAAAAAAUUAUAGCAGAAAGUAAAAAAAUUAAAGCAGAAAACCAGGCCUUAAGGACCAGAAUUGAGCAACUGGAAACCAAUGAUCUGGCAAAACAUCAAGAAUUAAUAAAGCAAAGUCAAAAUAAUAACUAACUUUAUAAUAUAGAUGACUAACAAAAAAUAAAGUUAAUCUUGAAAGCAUAAAA